rnacentral:rRNA from 1 species
GAUGAACGCUGGCGGCGUGCCUAAUACAUGCAAGUCGAGCGAACAGACGAGGAGCUUGCUCCUCUGACGUUAGCGGCGGACGGGUGAGUAACACGUGGAUAACCUACCUAUAAGACUGGGAUAACUUCGGGAAACCGGAGCUAAUACCGGAUAAUAUAUUGAACCGCAUGGUUCAAUAGUGAAAGACGGUUUUGCUGUCACUUAUAGAUGGAUCCUCGCCGCAUUAGCUAGUUGGUAAGGUAACGGCUUACCAAGGCAACGAUGCGUAGCCGACCUGAGAGGGUGAACGGCCACACUGGAACUGAGACGCGGUCCAGACUCCUACGGGAGGCAGCAGUAGGGAAUCUUCCGCAAUGGGCGAAAGCCUGACGGAGCAACGCCGCGUGAGUGAUGAAGGUCUUCGGAUCGUAAAACUCUGUUAUUAGGGAAGAACAAAUGUGUAAGUAACUAUGCACGUCUUGACGGUACCUAAUCAGAAAGCCACGGCUAACUACGUG